UAGGGAAUCUUCGGCAAUGGACGAAAGUCUGACCGAGCAACGCCGCGUGAGUGAAGAAGGUUUUCGGAUCGUAAAACUCUGUUGUUAGAGAAGAACAAGGACGUUAGUAACUGAACGUCCCCUGACGGUAUCUAACCAGAAAGCCACGGCUAACUACGUGCCAGCAGCCGCGGUAAUACGUAGGUGGCAAGCGUUGUCCGGAUUUAUUGGGCGUAAAGCGAGCGCAGGCGGUUUCUUAAGUCUGAUGUGAAAGCCCCCGGCUCAACCGGAGAGGGUCAUUGAAAGCUGGGAGACUUGAGUGCAGAAGAGGAGAGUGGAAUUCCAGGUGUAGCGGUGAAAUGCGUAGAUAUAUGGAGGAACACCAGUGGCGAAGGCGGCUCUCUGGUCUGUAACUGACGCUGAGGCUCGAAAGCGUGGGGAGCAAACAGG
rnacentral:rRNA from 1 species